rnacentral:rRNA from 1 species
GAAACAGUGGCUAAGACUGGAUAGGAAGAUAAAAGGCAUCUUUUAUCUUUUAAAAGACCUAGUAAUAGGUAUGCUUUAGGAGGGGCUUGCGCCAUAUUAGUUAGUUGGUAGGGUAAUGGCCUACCAAGACGAUGAUGUGUAGCUGGACUGAGAGGUUGAACAGCCACAUUGGGACUGAGACACGGCCCAAACUCCUACGGGAGGCAGCAGUAGGGAAUUUUCGGCAAUGGAGGAAACUCUGACCGAGCAACGCCGCGUGAAUGACGAAGUACUUCGGUAUGUAAAGUUCUUUUAUCAAGGAAGAAAAGCAAAUGGCGAACCAUUUGUUUGCCGGUACUUGAUGAAUAAGCCCCGGCUAAUUAUGUGCCAGCAGCCGCGGUAAGACAUAAGGGGCAAGUGUUAUCCGGAAUUAUUGGGCGUAAAGGGUGCGUAGGCGGUCUAGUAAGUCAGUGGUGUAAUGGCAACGCUUAACGUUGUCCGGCUAUUGAAACUGCUAAACUUGAGUUAGAUAGAGGCGAGUGGAAUUCCAUGUGUAGCGGUAAAAUGCGUAAAUAUAUGGAGGAACACCAGAGGCGUAGGCGGCUCGCUGGGUCUUAACUGACGCUGAGGCACGAAAGCGUGGGGAGCAAACAGGAUUAGAUACCCUGGUAGUCCACGCCGUAAACGAUGAGUACUAAGUGUCGGGUUAAACCGGUACUGAAGUUAACACAUUAAGUACUCCGCCUGAGUAGUACGUACGCAAGUAUGAAACUUAAAGGAAUUGACGGGACUCCGCACAAGCGGUGGAUCAUGUUGUUUAAUUCGAAGAUACCCGAAAAACCUUACCAGGUCUUGACAUGUUUUUGCAAAAUGAUAGUAAUAUCGUGGAGGUUACCAGAAACACAGGUGGUGCAUGGUUGUCGUCAGCUCGUGUCGUGAGAUGUUAGGUUAAGUCCUAAAACGAGCGAAACCCUUAUCGUUAGUUGCCAGCACGUUAUGGUGGGGACUUUAACGAGACUGCCAAUGAUAAAUUGGAGGAAGGUGAGGAUCACGUCAAAUCAGCAUGCCCCUUAUGACCUGGGCUACAAACGUGAUACAAUGGCUGUUACAAAGGGUAGCUGAAACGCAAGUUCUUGGCCAAUCCCCAAAAACAGUCCCAGUCCGGAUUGAAGUCUGCAACUCGACUUCAUGAAGUUGGAAUCGCUAGUAAUCGCGAAUCAGCAUGUCGCGGUGAAUACGUUCUCGGGGUUUGUACACACCGCCCGUC